CUGUGUGUUUGCAUAUGUGUCCUCCCUCUCUGCUCCCAGCUGUUAAGAGGUCAGUGUUGAUCAGAGGCUGUCCAGGCCUUUCAGAGCCACUGAACCACCAGCAGCACAAUGAUGAUGUUACUGACUCUACUGCUGACCAUCCUGGGGCUCCUGGUUCAGGGUUCAUCAGGAGACAUCAUCCUGACUCAGACUCCUGCAUCUCAGUCUGUUGUUCAGGGUCAGACUGUCUCCAUCAAAUGUAAAACCAGUUCUGGUGUUUAUAGCAACCUCCACUGGUACCUUCAAAAACCUGCAGAAGCUCCUAAACUCCUGAUUUAUGGAGCUACAAAUCGUCAGUCUGGAGUUCCAGAUCGUUUCAGUGGAAGUGGUUCUGGUUCUGACUACACUCUGACCAUCAGUGGAGUUCAGGCUGAAGAUGCAGGAGUUUAUUACUGUCAGCAGGGUUACAGCCCGUUCACACAGUGAUAGAACGUCAUACAAAAACCUCCCUCAGCUGCAGAGGAACUGAUCCGACUCAGCAGCUGAAUUGAAACGCUACAAUCUUCCCCAGAUGAAAACUAUCUUUUCUACAUUUUUACCCAUUUUCUUUUAACACUUAGUACUAAUAAAAUCACCCUGCUUGGCUUUUAAAUGUCUAACAUAUGCUUUAAAAGCUGCACAGAGACCAGAGAUGAUCAGCAGCUCUUCAGGCCCUUUUAAUUUAUUUCUCAAUAGCAUGAACAUUGAACAUAAAUAAAGUAAUACAU